GCGGUGGUGUUGGAAUUGGCAGACAAGCAUGACUAAGGAUCAUGUGAGAGCAAUCUCGUGUGGGUUCGAGUCCCAUUCGCCGCAC
rnacentral:tRNA from 2 species